AUGCAAGUCGAACGCACUCUCGUUUAGAUUGAAGGAGCUUGCUCCUGAUUGAUAAACAUUUGAGUGAGUGGCGGACGGGUGAGUAACACGUGGGUAACCUGCCCUAAAGUGGGGGAUAACAUUUGGAAACAGAUGCUAAUACCGCAUAAAACCUAACACCGCAUGGUGUAGGGUUGAAAGAUGGUUUCGGCUAUCACUUUAGGAUGGACCCGCGGUGCAUUAGUUAGUUGGUGAGGUAAAGGCUCACCAAGACCGUGAUGCAUAGCCGACCUGAGAGGGUAAUCGGCCACACUGGGACUGAGACACGGCCCAGACUCCUACGGGAGGCAGCAGUAGGGAAUCUUCCACAAUGGACGACAGUCUGAUGGAGCAACGCCGCGCUGAGUGAAGAAGGUUUUCGGAUCGUAAAACUCU
rnacentral:rRNA from 1 species